rnacentral:rRNA from 1 species
GACGAACGCUGGCGGCGUGCUUAACACAUGCAAGUCGAACGGAAAGGCCCUGCUUUUGUGGGGUGCUCGAGUGGCGAACGGGUGAGUAACACGUGAGUAACCUGCCCUUGACUUUGGGAUAACUUCAGGAAACUGGGGCUAAUACCGGAUAGGAGCUCCUGCUGCAUGGUGGGGGUUGGAAAGUUUCGGCGGUUGGGGAUGGACUCGCGGCUUAUCAGCUUGUUGGUGGGGUAGUGGCUUACCAAGGCUUUGACGGGUAGCCGGCCUGAGAGGGUGACCGGCCACAUGGGGACUGAGAGACGGCACUGACUCCUACGGGAGGCAGCAGUGGGGAAUAUUGCACAAGGGGCGGAAGCCUGAUGCAGCAACGCCGCGUGCGGGAUGACGGCCUUCGGGUUGUAAACCGCUUUCGCCUGUGACGAAGAGUGAGUGACGGUAAUGGGUAAAGAAGCACCGGCUAACUACG